GUGAAUGGCCUGUUCUACAAUCUCCCCAUAACCGUUUCUGCUGACCGGAUCAGAGUCUAUCAGCAUGGCACCGAAGUCCUGAUAGAAACUGACUUUGGUCUCAUUGUGAACUAUGACCUGGUUUAUGACAUAAAAGUCACAGUCCCAAGCACCUACCAGAACCAAGUGGAAGGCCUGUGUGGGAACUACAACGGGAAGAAGGAGGAUGACUUCCUGCUCCCCAAUGGCAAGACAGCCUCUGACGUAGCUGUGUUUGGCGCUGCUUGGAAAGUUCGGGUCCGUGGGGCAGUUGAAUCUUGCUCAGAUGGAUGCUCUGGAAGCAACUGCCCAGUCUGCGAGGAAAAGAAAAGGGAGGUCUUCAAACAGCGCCACUACUGUGGGAUCCUCACUGCAUCUGAUGGCCCCUUCAGUGCUUGCCACGGAAAGGUCGACCCCAGGCUAUACUUCAGCAACUGCGUCUACGAUCUGUGCCUGGGUGGCGGGGACAGCAAGGUGUUGUGCGACAGCGUCCAGAGCUAUGUGUCUGCUUGCCAAGUGGCCAAGGUCUCGGUCAAGCCCUGGAGGAGCCCUUCCUUCUGCCGUAAGUACUGGGGACUGAGCAGUGCUGUGCUUUUAACUGGAGAGGUGAAAGGAGAGAAGACUCUGAUCUGACUCCCUAUGGCUUUGGGACACAGUCCAAGGUGUGUGUGGUCAAAUGCACCCAAUAUAUUUCAAAUCCUCAUAUGCUACUUUGAUAGUCAUGACCUCCCCCAAGAAACCCUGGCAACCGUACUUUGCUAAGAGUGCUGAGAAUGGCUAGGAAUGAGUUCCUGCCAGAGCCAGCAGUGUAAGGCAGUGAUGGGGAGAACCUUUCAGCUCAAGUGCCAUUCUCUUGUAGGAAACCUUGUAGGAAACCUUCCAUGGGCUGAGGGUGACCCUAGUAAAGUUGGGGCCACUGAACCACCUGGCUAUAGCCCUGUUAGUGAGAUGUAGAUUCUAUGUUGUUGUUGUUUAGUCGUUUAGUCGUGUCCGACUCUUCGUGACCCCAUGGACCAGAGCACGCCAGGCACUCCUGUCUUCCACUGCCUCCCACAGUUUGGUCAAACUCAUGCUGGUAGCUUCGAGAACACUGUCCAACCAUCUCAUCCUCUGUCGUCCCCUUCUCCUUGGGCCCUCCAUCUUUCCCAACAUCAGGGUCUUUUCCAGGGAGUCUUCUCUUCUCAUGAGGUGGCCAAAGUAUUGGAGCCUCAGCUUCAGGAUCUGUCCUUCCAGUGAGCACUCAGGGCUCAUUUCCUUCAGAAUGGAUAGGUUUGAUCUUCUUGCAGUCCAUGGGACUCUCAAGAGUCUCCUCCAGCACCACAAUUCAAAAGCAUCAAUUCUUCGGCGAUCAGCCUUCUUUAUGGUCCAGCUCUCACUUCCAUACAUCACUACUGGGAAAACCAUAGCUUUAACUAUACGGACCUUUGUUGGGAAGGUGAUGUCUCUGCUUUUUAAGAUGCUGUCUAGGUUUCUAUAGAUUCUAUAGCCUGUUACUAAUUAAUGUACAGUAUAUCUUCCUUCUCAAAGAGGAAAGCAGUUAAUAAAAAACAUCUGGUCCAGGCUGGAAUCGUACAUUGACAAACUGAUGAAUCAGUUCCUUGCAGCCUCAGUGAUAGUGGCAGGCAACUUAAAUGCUAGAAUUGGCCAGUCUGAUGAUGACUUAUAUGCCGACUUCCACGAAUCACCACCCAUCUUAGAGGAAGCCCAUUCUAUACAAAUCAGGCACUCAAAAGAUAAGGGUUGCAACUAUGCAGGCUUGUGCCUGUUGUGCUUGUCCAACAAGCUGGACCUGGUCAUAUUGAAUGGCUGCACCAAAGGGAAGAAGGUUGGGGAAUUCACGUUCAUAUCAAAUGUAGGAGCCUCUAUAAUUGACUAGAUUAUGGUGUCAUAUAACCUUCCAGGGGUGCAACAUUUAAGGUAAUUUGUACCAUUGCACAGUAGGCUAAUAUACACACAUACACAAAUGCACCCCUUCAAGCAAGAGACACUAUUUGAGUUCAAGGAUACAUUUUCCACGAGCGGUCCGGAGGGUGGCAACACGAGAACGGGCCUUUUCUGCAGUGGCUCCCCAUUUAUGGAAUGGUCUCGCCAGGGAGGUUUGCCUUUCGCCUUAAUUAUACACCUUUAGGAAUCAGGCAAAAAUGUUACUUUUUAACUAGGCCUUUGCCUGAUUGACAUCCAAUGCCCUUUUAAAAUGUGUUGUAGAAGGGGGCGUUGCAUGGCGAGUUCCCGCCUCCCCCCCCCGUGGAAAUAACGACACAUGACACAAGUAUUUAGGAUAAUGGGCUAAAAAUGGCCACAACUUUAUUGGUUACAGGUGAUGAGCGGUAUUGGCUUAGGCAUUGGUCCUACCGACUAUUCGGCUUCAGCAUGUUUGCUUGAAGACCAGGAAGGGUUAACCACCAGUAGGGGGAGUCCUGCUGAUGCACAUCAACUAGGAACUCCCCCGGGGUCACCGCUUGGGGGCAUGCCUUAGACUCUCACCUCCAUAGGCUUCGGACAGGGCCACGCCCCCCAGAAUCCUUUACCGGACUACCCUUCGCAAUCCGGGGGAGGUGAUGGCGCUUCCUCCCCCCUCAUCUACAUAACAAUACCCCUACCAAUGCCUAACUGCCAAUCCCAGGAAGUUGUGACGAUUUGCUACGAGGUAGGUGAAAAAACCAAGUGGCUGGUGCCAAUUUGCCAAGUGGAAAAAUUCCUACCAGGCCCCUUAAUGGCGACCAACCGAAGUCCAUAGCAAGGUCUUGUGAAACCUAAAGGGCAGGUGGGUGGGAAACCAGAGGAGCUACGGCAGCAAAAGAGGGAGAUUUAGCUGAUGCUAAAUAGCACAAACCACGCCUCCCCCCAGGCCAGCCAAUUGGCUGGCUAGGGAGAUGACGUGGCCAAGGAUUCCCUCAAUGGCGUGGAGGCUGGGAGCCAGCCCCCGCACACGUGGGGAGGGCGUGAAGCCCACAACCCCACCUGCUCUCGAGCUCGGAAGUGGCUUUAUUAGCUUGUUCUUGUUCUUUUUAUCAUGCAUUUUGUGUUUUAUAUUAUGAUUUUAUCUUGUGGCUCACCCUGCAGGUAUAGGGCAGUGCACAAAAUUAAUUUAUUAAUUAAUAUAAGAAUUUUUAAUAAUUAACAAUAAUUCUAGCCAGGCAGAAACACUCAAGCAGGGUGCACAGCAGGGCUGUGUUUUCUGUAGUUUACUAGUCACACUCUCUGACUUCAUUCUCCAGCUUCCCAGUCACCUUAAGUAUUGCUGGGUAUCUUUUUGCCUAAGAUGAGUGUUUUUCUUCUAUUCCAAUUUAGCUCUGCGCUGCCCCGCCAACAGUCACUAUGAAAUUUGUGCCCAGCUCUGCGCCACCUCCUGUGCCAAGAUCACAGACUCUACGAAAUGUCCGGAGACCUGUGCUGAGGGCUGCCAGUGUAAUGAUGGCUUUUUCUUUAACGGUGUUGGCUGUGUCUCCGCAAAAGACUGUGGGUGCUUAAAGAAUGGACGCUACUACAAGGUAGGUGGCUUUCCGAACCUUAUCUACCUCCCUUCCUUUUCAAAUCAAAUCCUCCAGCAGGAUAGUUUAGGAGAGGCAGGACAUGUCAUGUAGCCUACAUAGCUCCAAAGAGGUGAACAGCCAGGAGGGCUUAGGAAGAAAGCAGCCAGAUGUCAGGCCUGAGGAAUUCUCUCCCUCCAAUCCCGAUGGUUUCAAGGUGCCAGGAGGAAACAAGGAAGCUUUUACUUAUGAUUUAUUCAGUCACUGCGGUAACAGACAAAGCAUUCCAGUCUUUCCUCCAUGAUUGAGUUGCUCACUCUGGCUCCUCCUCCUUCCCCCUUGCUCAACAGCAUCGGUCCCUACGGAAGCCUCCUGUUGCCAAAGGUCUCUGUGUACAUUGCUCUUGUACCCUUAACGACCGUUGCAUUUUAGGGGACGGAGGGUCCUCUAUGCUGUCUAUUAAAGUGUUCGCUGGCUGCUCUAUCUCCCCCCUUACUUCUCCUUACUCCAUAUAGCUUGGCUGCUCACCAGUCUGUGCUUCGUUAUCUCCCUCAUAGCUUGGCUGUAAUUCAAUACUGUCUCUCUCUCCCCUGUCAGCUACAGGAGAUGGGGGAGGCGAUCUCCACCACUCCUCUGUCUCUUCAUUCCAGUCCCUGACACCAGAGGACACCUGGUUGGCCCCUGGGGACACACAGGGCAGUUCUUCCCAUUCCAUGGGUGGUCUUUGUACAGCCCUAGUGGAUACUAUUAGCAAUACACACCUCCAUCUGUAGAUUUGAUUCUGCCCAUAUUCUAUCACUACUACAUUUUAUUUUUUCCCAAAUUUCCCAUCAGCCCAAUGAAAAGGUUCUGCAAAAUGUAUGCCAGGAGAGCUGCCGUUGCAUCCCAGGCCAGGGGGUUAUCUGCGAAGCCCAUAGCUGUGCAGCAAAUGAGAACUGUGAAACCAUAGAUGGCGUCUUGAGAUGUGUAAAUAAGGGUAAGGAAAGAUUCGUUCAAGAGAGUGAUGGGCAACCUGUGGCCCUCCAGAUGUUGUUGAACUACAAUUUACAUCAGCCCUGAACGUUGUUCAUGGCACAGAUAUACUGGCAAGAAGAUGUCCUGUUGUCUUUCGCCAUGCCUAAAACUUAGCUCCACCUCUCCACUGAUAGUUGCCAUCCCUAAAUAGCAUUUAGCACUUUCUCAUAUUUCCUUCUUCCUUUUCAGAUCCAUGUAAAUCCCUGAAGUGCCGAGAAAAGGAAACAUGCAGGAUUGAGAACGGCCAAGCCAAAUGUAUCCCAGACUUCUCAGGAAGCUGCUGGGGCUGGGGGGACCCACACUAUCACACCUUUGACACCUUGAAGUUUGAUUUCAUGGGCACCUGCUCUUACACUAUUGCCAAGUACUGUGGGAACGAUGCUACGCUGGUGCCUUUCACUAUCGAUGAGAAGAAUGACAACAGGGGCAACCAGGCUGUGUCCUACGUGCGUCUGACCAACAUCGAUGUCUAUGGGUACAAUAUCUCCAUCCACAAACUGGAAACUGGAAAAAUCCGGGUAUGUUAAAUAGUCAGGGGGGAAUGACCCUACUGAGUGUAAUGGAAUUCAUUCCGAUAUACAGCACUUUGAAAGCCCAAUAUUGGGCUAAAAGGUAAAGGGACCCCUGAACAUUAGGUCCAGUCGCGGAUGACUCUGGGGUUGCGGCGCUCAUCUCACUUUAUUGGCUGAGGGAGCCGGCGUACAGCUUCCGGGUCAUGUGGCCAGCAUGACUAAGCCGCUUCUGGUGAACCAGAGCAGCACACAGAAACGCCAUUUACCUUCCCGCCGGAGCAGUAGCUAUUUAUCUACUUGCACUUUGGCGUGCUUUCGAACUGCUAGGUUGGCAGGAGCAGGGACCAAGCAACGGGAGCUCACCCCGCUGUGGGGAUUCAAACCACCAACCUUCUGAUCGGCAAGCCCCUAGCCCCUUAGUUUAACCCACAGCACCACCCACGUCCCUUAAUAUUGGGCUAAUGUAGAACAAAAACAAUAAGGAGGGGGAAUAGAGGCCAAUGAUUGCAGGCCAGUGUCAAUAAUUCAGAUAUCUAUACAAUUCAGAAAAAUGUGGUAAUCGCCAACACACAACUUUGCAUUACACUGAAUAAUGAUGCUAUAAAUUCUGCAAAGUGAAAACUGAAUGGUGCACAAAUACACACAAAACUUGAAUCCUUGUCUUGAGCUCAUGGGUUCAAGUUGGAUUAUGAGCAACUGUGGGUACUUUUGGAGUUGGCUUGGUUAUGGACCCCCUUAUGUGAAUGCACUGCCAAACCAGAAGUGUUCACUUGACUUGUCUGGCUUGCCAAGUAAUGUUCCCAAGGACCAUUGAACAGUUUAAGCUACCAAAAAUAGAUAAUUGGUCAUGCGAAGCAGAACAAUGGAUAGUGGUAGUUAGCAAGGGUCUCAGUUCCUUGUGAGUCACCUGCAAUCAAUAGGUUAGGUCAGGGAUAGGCAACCUGUGUCCCUCCAAGUAUUGCUGGACUACAACUCCCAUCCUCCUUGACUAUUGGCCAUGCUGUUUGGGGCUGAUGGGAGCUGUAGUCCAAGAACAUCUGGGUGGCCUACAGGUUCCUCAUGCUUGCAGAUUUCCCAGCCUGUGUUUAAACAAGGCCUUGUUGUGCGUAAUGUUGUUUGAUCAUGUAAAUAAGUCAUGGUCUCUUGGGAUGAAAUGAGCCAUCGCUAACAGAGACGUCAAUGAACUAGAAGGUGGCUGUGACUCAGCUCAGCAAACAUGAAUCAGGAUGAUGUCAACCACCAGCAAGUACAAAUGUAGCCCAAUACAAAGGCACAACGCCAAGCCAAUUAAAUAAGAAAAACAUCAAGGCUGGAUUUGGCAGAGUUCCCUGAUUUACGUUAUGAAGGGUAAUUCCUUCCAUACAGGGAACUAUUCUCUUUCUCUCUUUAUCUGUUGUCUGUGUGUCUCUGUCUAUCUGUCUGUCUCUCUUUUAGGAAUACAACCUACAAACAGCCAACUUUGAUGUUAAAUAUCCCACUCCAACCUUUUACAGAUAUAGUCUAGAAGAGUGUCAUCUUAGAAGAUGACAUCUCAGAAGAAGAAGAAGAACCCAAAGGGGUUGUCAAAACUCUUCUGAACAUAGGCUGUUCUGUUCAAUACUAAAUCCAGUAUUGGUCAGUGGGAUGGGGCAGCAUCACUGACCUAACCUCCUGUCACUGGUGUCACUGUGGCUUCAUGGGAGGGCUGAGGCCACAGCAAGCUCAGUGCAAUGAAAAUGCACCAGCAGGAGCACUGGAUUGGCACCAUUGGCGCGUUUGCCUUACUGCAGCCUCACUAAUCCAUUGACCCUCCCCUUCCUGAUAAGCCACAGUGAUGCUGGCAAUGGGAGGUCAAGUAAGCGCUGCUACUGCAUAUAGUGCUACUGGUCCCCAUGACGACUUUAACAUCAAACAACACAAUUCUAACCAAAUCUACUCAGAUAUGAGUCAUAUUGAAUUCAAUGGGGCUUACUCCCAGGUAUGUGCAGUUAGAACUGCAACCUAAAGCUUUGUGGGAUUGUAUGGCAUGGUUUCCAAAAAGCCUCCAAUAAUUCCUGUGUGUGUUCUGUCUUGCCAUUCUGCCUCUAGUUAAAUGGCAUCGUUACCAGCCUGCCACUGACCCUUGAAGAUGGUAAGAUCAAGCUGUACCAGAGUGGUUCCUAUGCUAUCCUGCAAACAGAUUUCGGCCUCCAAGUAUCAUAUGACUAUAACUGGUAUCUGCUUAUCACAAUCCCCAGUAGUUACUAUGGGGCCAUUUGCGGACUGUGUGGAAACUUCAAUCAAAACCCUGCAGAUGACAUGGCCUACCCCAAUGGCACAAAGGCUUCCUCCAUCGAAAGCUGGGCCAGCAGCUGGAAAGUCAAAGACAGGGACCCCUUUUGUUGGGAUCACUGCCAAGGGAAUUGCCCAACAUGUGAUGAGAGCAAGAGGGAGCGGUAUGGAAAGGAAGAUUACUGUGGGCUGAUCAGCAAAACUUCAGGGGGGCCCUUCAGAGAAUGCCAUGCCAAAGUGAAUCCAGAUGACUUCUUUGAUAGUUGUAUUUAUGAUGUGUGUCUCAAUGGAGGGACCAAGAAAAUGCUUUGCCAGGCCUUGGAGGCCUAUGCUAAAACCUGUAGGAAAUCAGGGGCCACCAUAUACGAUUGGAGGACAACCUCUGGCUGUGGUGAGUGCUCUUCCUCUAUACAGAAACACAAUAGCUUAGUCGUCUCAGUAAGGCCUAUAGAUUAUUGCAGCCUGUGGAUAUGGACAUGCUGUUUGAAGAAGCACAGCCGACCACCUGCCUCCUUCGCUCUUGCCCAUCUUGGCUUCUUCAAACAAGCCAUAAGGGAUUGACCGGGUGGGUCUAAGGAGUGAUUAAUGCUACACUGGAGAAGGGCGAGGUACCAGAAGUUCUAAAAUGUCUAUCAGCCAGUAGCAAAUAUCUCCUUUCUGGGCAAGGUGCUUGGGGAGGUCGCAGCGGUCUAGCUUCAUGCAUGUUGGAGGAAGCUGAUUACUUGGAACCAUUCUGGUUUGGCUUCAGGCCAGGUCAUGGCACUGAAUGCAGGGAGUGCAAUCCUGCUCAUUCUCCUUGAUUUUGAUAUCUCAGUGGCUUUCCAUACUGUUGACUCUGGGAUCUUUCUGCAGCAUAACAGGGAGGUGGAGGUUUAGUGGCACUGUACUUCAGUGUUUCUGCUCCUAUCUCUGGGGCCAUUUCAAGAAAGUAGUCAUGGGAGGCUUCUGUUCAGCGCCAUGGGAGUUGCCUGUGGUGUCCCACAGGGUUCCAUCUUGUUCCCCAUUCUGUUUAACAUGUAUAUAUACAGAAGCUGACAACACUGGCAGCUGAAUCUUAUUUUAUGCUGGCACCCUCUACCACACCAAAGAGCAGCUUUGUUUCAUCCAUAAAUUUCCAAAGUACCUGUACGUCUAACAUUAAUUACACCAGCUUUUGCCAACUUGAGGCUUUAGCACAUUCUAUCAGUUGUUAGACCCCCGUUGUUCUCCUCCUUACAGCCUUGCCGUGCCCUCAGAAUAGCCACUAUGAGUUCUGUGGCAAUGCCUGCCCUGCCAGCUGCGCCGACCGCAAUGCUCCCUCUGCCUGCAAACAGCCCUGCGUGGAAACCUGCCAGUGCAACGAUGGCUACGUCCUCAGCGUCGACAAGUGUGUGCCUCUCGGGAGCUGUGGCUGCACCUACAAUGGGCUCUACUACAAAUCCGGAGAAGAAUUCUGGGCUGAUGAGACCUGUGGUUCCCACUGCACAUGUGAUCCCACCCUGGGCAUCGUGGUGUGCAAACCAGCUGGCUGCAAAGCCAGUGAGCAGUGCACUGUGGUCAACGGUGUCCGGGGCUGUCACCCCAGUGUUUCUGCUACAUGCAUAGCAACUGGGGACCCUCACUAUACCACCUUUGAUGGGAAGAAAUUUGACUUCAUGGGCACCUGUAUUUACCAGCUGGCUGGGCUCUCCUCUAAGGAUCCGACUCUUAAGCCUUUCACUGUCACUGUGGAGAACAACCACCGGAGCAGCAGCACGGAUGUUUCCUACACCAAGGUGGUAACUCUGAAAGUCUACAAUGCAACCAUAAUGUUGAGCCAGGAGUAUCCACAAAGAAUCCAGGUACUGAUAUGGGCAAUAGUUGGAUGCAUGUAUUGGUUCCUUGGGUCAUCACAGGAUCCUUUUAAAUGGUGCCUGCUGCUCCAAGGGUGAGUGGGGGGGGGGGGCUAGCCAAUAUUGUAAACAUUUCAUUUAUUUCACAGAAGUUACACACCACUUGCUUCUAAUGAAACCUCUGGGUGGUUUACAUGAAAUAUUGCAACAAGUGAUUAACACUGUUUUAAAAAUGCUUAAAAUUAAUAGCAGACUUAAGUGAAUUUACAGCAAGUCGGCAUCUAUGCAUCUUACUAAGCUUGCCUAAGCCAAAUUGUUUUAAACCAGCACCAAAAAGGAUACAGUAAAGUUACCUACCUGAUGUAAUGGGGCAGGAGGUUUCAAAGUGCAGGUGCUGCCACAGCAAAAUACAAUUUUAUGUAAAGUAGCUCUUGCAUUUUGAGAGCGGUAAUGGUUUUACUCAAAAUAUACCCAUUGAAAUUAAUGGAUAUAAUUCAGUCAUGCUCAUUAAUUAUUAUUAUUUUUUAAAUGAUAUUUAUUAAACAUUUUAAAGUUACAAAAAAAAACACACCAAAGAAACAAAGAAGAGAAAAACAAAAACAAAGGAAAAGCAAACAGCAGUCAAACCAUACAGAUCAAUAAAAAUAAAAAAACAAAGACAAAACACAUCAAAAUCCAAAAAACAAAAGUAAACCACAAACAAUUAAAAACAGAUCCAAUAUUCCCAAAUCCUUAACUGUCAUUGCCUUAUUUCAUCGACCUCCUCAAACCUCCCUUUUUUGUAUUCCAGUUAUUAAUUAUAACAGCAAAUCCUUCCCAUUUUUCAUAAUAUUCUGUCAUUAAAUUACCUUAAUCUAUUUUAACCUUAUCUUACUUUAAAAGACCCUAAAACUUAAAACUUAAAUCUAAGUCAUGCUCAUUAAUUUAACUGUGUCUACUUAUUUGGACGACUGGUGUUCACCAAUGUUGGAUACUUACUAUAGUAGUGGUGAUGGUUCCUUUGCAUCACAUUCCAGGUUAAUGGCAUUUUUGUGAACCUGCCUUUCUACCAAGGAGACAAGAUAAAGGCUUAUAUCAGUGGUGUUCAUGGCUUCAUCAAGACGAAUUUUGACCUGAUUGUCACCUUCGACUGGAACAGCUACGCCAGAGUCACUGUACCCAGUGCAUACGCCAAUGCCAUUGGUGGCCUCUGUGGCAACAACAACUUGAACCCCAAUGAUGACUUCAUCAUGAAGGAUGGGAGACAAACGUCUAGCAUAACCCAAUUUGCAGAGAGCUGGAAGGUGGCAGAGGUCCCUGGUUGUACACCAGGUUGCGCAGAGAAUUGCGCACCAUGUGAAGAGGCACAGAAACUCCCCUAUAAGGGUGACCGAUUCUGUGGGGUCCUCAUCAAAAAGGACGGACCAUUCAGGCAAUGCCAUCCGCUCAUCGACCCAACACCCUACUUCACUGAUUGCGUCUUUGACGUCUGCCAGUAUCGUGGCCGGCACAGCAUUCUGUGUGAUGCCAUUGGUGUUUAUGUGGCAGCGUGUCAGGACCUGGGAGCUGUGAUUGAACCAUGGAGAUCUAACAAUUUCUGCAGUAAGUAUCACCUCCUGGUGCUGCUUUAGCAUAGGAAUAUGAGGAGCAACCUAAUGCCAAGUCAGAGCAUUCUCUAGCAUCUCAGACAGGGGCUCUUUUCUAGUUAUAUCUGGAUAUACUAGGGAUUAAACCAAGUACCUUUCACCCCUACCAUGUUUUGCUGUAGGGAGUUGUGUGCCAAAUGUAAAGGUGCAUGAGCUGAAAACAAAUUGCACAAAACCUUGACAAGUGUAAAAUUUGAGGUUUGGAAGUAAAAUUUCUCCUCUCUCCAAGUGUUUUUAUUUCAGUACUAACUUGAGUCAUGCUCAGAGCAGACUAACUAUAAAUAUCAGAAAUUCUACCUCAGGUCCAUUCAUUUCAGUGGGGAAACUCUGAGUACAACUUAGUUGGAUGCAACCCAUAGUGUAUAGAUUUCAAAGACUACUUGGAAUAUUUUUUAAUUUGUUUGAUCCUCUGGACUUGUCAGCCAACAUUUAUGUCCUGGCAUGUACAGACCACUUAAGAAUUCAGAUCCACCUGAAAGAUCCACUCUGUUAAAAAGGUCAUAUAAGAAAUUUGGCAUUAGAUUUCAAGUGUUUUGAAUUUACUGAUCUCCACAUCAAUUUCAUUUCAACCCUGAUCAUUCAUGCCCCUGGUUCACAUCUGUCCAAUUUUUAGUCUUGAUCCCAGCGAACAUCUGGGCAGCACUAUCAAUCUUAGUCUGAUCCAUCUAGACACUAUGAAUGGUGUUACAUCUUUAAUAUCUGUGCUUGAUAUUGUUCAGCAAUUUUAGGUGUUGCAGAACAAAGCCAGGUAGUAAUAGUAGUAAUGAUAGUAGUAUUUGCACAGACAGACAUCCAUGUUGUUCAACUACGCCAGUAACAUGGGAAAUACAGUAAGCCCACAAUUUAUGCAGGGAUUACAUUCUGGGGAUCGCACCAAAAGUCAAAUUGUGUAUAAUCAAAACACAUUUGGAUGGGAGGGGUUAAAUAAAUAAAUAUUAUUAAUGGCGUGUGGGAUUGCCAAAGUCAUUCUUCCUGGAGCCCCAGCCCCCCCCCCAUUUCAUUUAUUUAUUCUUAUUUGCCAAGAGCAUAAAGCUGAAUGUGCACAAGUUAAAUGCAGGAAGUCGCAAGCUUGCCAUAUGAGAAAGCUGUUUUUUAGUCAGACUAGGAUUUGCUCUAACCAGCAGAUGUCACUGUAGACAGAAUCUGCAACAGAGCACAACAGACCUAUUCAACUCCAGGUGUCCAAAGAACCAGGUGUCUGCCAAAAUAACUUACAUGCUAGCUUGAAAUUCCCCACAUUCUGUUUUUGUCCUUUCUUCCAGGCCUUGCCUGCUCACCCAACUCUCGCUACGAGCUCUGCGGAAACGGCUGCCCUGCCACUUGCCGUGGUCUCUCGGCUCCUGAGGGGUGUGUGACGUCCUGCAAGGAAGGAUGCUAUUGCAAGCCUGGGUUUGUCUUGAGUGGGGACCAGUGUGUCCCUGUUGGCAGUUGUGGCUGUGAGCACCAGGGCAACUACUACAAGAAGGGAGAGGUUUUCUACCCUGGUUCCUCUUGCCAGGAACGAUGCCAGUGUGCAGACAAUGGAGUUGUCAAAUGCCAGAAAAUCUCCUGUGGGCCCCACGAGAAAUGUAGGGUGAAGGAUGGUGUCCCAGGCUGCCAUGCGGUAGGGUGCGGGAAAUGCAGUUUGGCUUUGGGCUCCCACUACAUAACUUUUGAUGGACGGGCCUACAACUUCCAAGGAACCUGCACUUAUACUUUGGCUAAAUUGCAAGGAAAGAAUUCUCAGCUGGCAAACUUCUCGGUGUUGGUGGAGAAUGACAGGUCACUGACCAAGACGCUUAUAGUCUCUUUUCAUGGAUACACCGCUGUCAUUGAGAGGGCGAUGAAAUGGAAGCUCAAGGUAAGUCCUGUUCCAGGUUUUGUCUCUUCAUGGUAGAAAUGGUGACACAGUUCACCUACAGUUUCAGGAGCCCUGGGGAGAACUUCCUCUCCCAUUGUCCCCCGUUCCCUAUCAGUAAAAAGGUAAAGGGACCCCUGACCAUUAGGUCCAGUUGUGACUGACUCUGGGGUUGCGGCGCUCAUCUCGCUAUAUUGGCCGAGGGAGCCGGCGUAUAGCUUCUGGGUCAUGUGGCCAGCAUGACUAAGCCGCUUCUAGCGAACCAGAGCAGCGCACAGAAACGCCGUUUACCUUCCCACCGGAGUGGUACCUAUUUAUCUACUUGCACUUUGACGUGCUUUUGAACUGCUAGGUUGGCAGGAGCAGGGACCGAGCAACGGGAGCUCACCCUGUCACGGGGAUUCGAACCGCCGACCUUCUGAUCGGCAAGUCCUAGGCUCUGUGGUUUAACCCACAGCGCCAUCCGCGUCCCGUUCCCUAUCAGUAGAUAUUGACUAAUCUGCUAAUUUUGUUUUCUCUCCAUUCCUCAUUUCCCCCAAGUUCAGUUCUCCGGAUUUCUGCAGCAAUAUGUGAUUUUUUAAUUAAAAAAAAUCUUCAUAGAAAUCCAUCGACAUUUUAGUGAUACGCAGUCUCGAUUGCUCAAAGAUUUUAAAAAUAUUAAGCGGUUUAUAACUUCUUUAAAUAAUAAAAUAAAUAACAUAUACAUUUUGGCAAGCAACGUUCCCCAACAGAAUGUAUUUUCAUAUGUUAUUCUGGCCAGUAAAUUACAUUUAUGAACAUUUCUCCCAAAUAUAUGCUUUUUUGUACACAUGCAUUGGUUGGAGAACUGCACUGUAAAAUCUGGAGAAUUGAUCAUUUCUUAGAGGAGCUGCAUUUCACUUCAUGUAUUGUUUUUGGGAGGUGCAAAUUCAGGAGUUCGCCAUUCAAAUGCAAAGAAGACCAAAUUUCUUCCCCAUCACACUGUAAGCAAGUGUGAUGGGGAGGGGAGAAGGGGAGGAGAGGAAAACCUCUCUCUGCUUUCCCCUCGGUAUUCUGUAGCUGUUGCUCCUGCUAAGUGGAGACACUGAGGGUAUGGCUGCAUGGAUUUUGCACAUGUGUUCAUGCAAUUGUACAAUAGCUGUGGGAUUUGAUCCUGAGUGAGAACAGGCAAGCUCCAUCCCUUAGUUCUUUCAAAUAGACCUUAAGGAUUUCCCUUUUGACUGUAGUCUUUAGUAGCUAACAAAUUAUGACUUGGGCUGUAGUAAUGGUAUUGUAUGGCCUGGCUCUGAAAUAUUAGAGUAUUGCUGGAUUAUUAUUAUUGUAUGUUUCAUGCUCGCUUUUAAUGGUUUUGUUGAAGGAAACAUUUAAAAGGGGUUUUGAUAUUGUGCUUUGAUAUAUUUGAUAUAGUCAUACUUGAUGCAUCGAUACUGUGUUGAUAUAGGGUUCCUUCAGAUGACCUCCUUUAAUAAUAAUAAUAAUAAUAAUAAUAAUAAUAAUAAUAAAUGUUAUUUAUAUCCCGCCCUCCCCAGCCGAAGCCGGGCUCAGGGCAGAUAACAACAAUCAAAUAAUCAAACAAUCAAAUAAUCAAACAUUCUAAAAACAUUUCAUUAUAAAAAUUAAUUAAAAUCAAAUUAAUGGCAACCGUUAAGCAAAAUUCUGUGCAGGUUGCCAGAGGAGGGAGUCAGGCUGCGCCCUGACCAAAGGCGCAUCAUCCAUCCUGAUUUUCUCAUACAAUCUUGUGCGGUGGCUAGACUAUGUCUGAUCUUCACUGAGCAUUUGUUCUGAUUUGUUUUCAGGCAGGUCAUAUGUCCCCGAGUAUUCAUCCUAAUUUGCUUGAGGGGCAUUUACACAUCUUCCUGUUAAACAUUUGCUCAUUCCACACAUUUCAGUGGAUUUCCCCAUCACUUUCCUACCUGAAAAAAGUCCGUUUUUUAAAAAAGUGGAUUUCUUGCCCUGGGGAGAAAGGUACUUUAAUCUGCUUCAAUUAAGCAAACUUAAAUUUCUGGCAUGUGUUUGAAUCCCUCUUGCAAAAUAGUAGCAGCCUGCAGACACCCUUAGUUCAAAAACUGUGUUAGGAGGUAUCCCCCCCAAAAAUGUGGUUGAUAAAUCCAUUUAAUAAUAAAUAAUAGUAAUUUAAAACUGUCACCUUACAUGGUCACCUUCUCUGUGGUUAAUGCAGGUGGAUGGACAGCUCUACACGCUGCCCAUGAAGACAAAGGAUGGGAAACUCUGGGCCAACCAGGAAGGCAAUAAUAUCAUUGUCCAGUCUGACUUUGGUCUCAAAGUCCUUUUUGAUACCUUUUCGUACAUCUUGGUGUCUGUCCCCAGUAACUACCAGGGACAUGUCACUGGCCUAUGCGGUAAUUUCAACAGUGACAGGACCGAUGACUUUACUCUACCUACGGGGAAAAGCACACAGAAUGUGAUCGAGUUUGGGGCCUCUUGGAAGGUUCCCAUUGAUGGUGUCAGAUGCUCUGAUGGCUGUGGAGAUAAAUGCCCCGUCUGUGAUGCAGCCAAGACAGCGCCGUACCGACCUGAGAGUUCCUGCGGAAUGAUCCAAGCCAAAUCCGGCCCCUUCAGGAACUGUCACUCCUUGGUAGACCCUGCCGAAUUCUUCAGCCACUGUCUGUAUGACAUGUGUGCAGCCAAUGGUGCCAGAGAAACUCUCUGUAGGAGCAUCCAGGCCUACGUCACUGUAUGUCAGGCUGCAGGAGUUACAAUUGGAGCCUGGAGAACAAACAGCUUCUGCCGUAAGUUUGCUCAGUAACCUGAAGUACCACCUUCUUUUUUAUCCCACCCACUCACACUGAUGCUUAAAAUAUUCAUUCUGCUAUAUUAGAUAAGAUGUUGCCCUGCAUAUGCUGCUGGACUACAGCUCCCAACAACUCUGGCCAUUGACCAUGUUGACUUGGGCUGAUGGGAACUGGAGUCCAAAAACAACCGUAGGGCACCAUAUUGGCUACUCCACUGUAACAGAAUAGACAGCCACUUUGAUAUAUGCCAUUGGGAGGAGCACAAUGGGAGAACAUGGUCAACAUUUAAAUCAGCAUUUCAUAUUCUCCAACAUUUCUCCAAUGAAAAUAGGGAUGUCCUGCUCCAUAAUAAUAAUAACAACAAUUUUAUUAUUUAUACCCCACCCAUCUCACUGGGUUGCCCCAGCCACUCAAGGUGGCUUCCAACAUAUAUAAAAACACAAUAAAACAUUAAACUUUUAAAAAACUUCCUUAUACAGGGCUGCCUUCAGAUGUCUUCUAAAGGUUGUAUAGUUACUUAUCUCCUUGGCUCAGUGGUCACAUAACUCCAUUCCCUCCAAUGAAUAGGGAUGAAAAUAGGGAUGUCCUAAAGAAAAGCAAGGCAUUCUGGGAUCAUAUCAGAAACCGGGAUGGCUUCUGUAAAUCCGGGACUGUCCCUGGAAAAUAGGGACACUUGAAGGGCCUGGCAUUUAGAUCAGGGUGAGAAAUGAGACCCUCCACACUGCUCCAUUUGUCCUAUUAAGCCAUUUUGGUUAAACUACACCCACUUGCCCUGCAUAGACCUGAUAUCAGCUAUGAUGUCAGGUGUGGCACAGGUAAGAAUGAGGCUUGGCCAAAAGGGGCUUUGCAGGCACUGCUAACUGAGUCAUGGUUUUCCAGGAGCUUUGGAAGAGCUUUGCAAGAUUUGCACACUGUGCCUGGCAUUAGAGAAGCACUGAGCACAGGACUUACAAAUCGCUUUGUGCAAGUGCUUUCCAAAUGCUCCACCACCAGCUGGAAGCACUGUGUGAUUCCCAGUCCUGUGUCAAUUUGCAGAUUGUUGGGUGUUUGGGACACACUAGGCAAAGCGCUUUGCAAGCUCUUUCAACUUUGACACGUGUGAAGCACCUGACAUCAUUAUGACAUCAGAUGAUGGGCAGGUAGGAGGUCCCACUCACCUGUCAAAGUUGUCCUGCGGGGUUGGGGAAAAUAAAGAUCUGGCCUGCUUAUCCAACCCUCAUUUUGACGAUGCAGCACCUAUGUCCUUUUAUUGCUGCCCUUAAAAAUAAGCCCUGAUACGGGACAGUAAAGCAGCCAGAGAUGGAACGGUGAGUGGAGGGGUGUCCUAUAUGGAUGAAAAGCUUCAGAAUUUAAGAAUGGUUAGCUAUACCUGCCUGGACUGUUCCUGCCUCCUAUAACCCCUGGUCCUCUCUCCCCUUCUUUUCAGCUCUCACUUGCCCACCCAACAGCCACUACGAGUUGUGUACAAGGACCUGUGGUUCCACCUGCACCAGCUUGUCCACUCCAGGCCAAUGCUCAAAGAAAUGCUUUGAAGGUUGUCAAUGUGACAGUGGCUACCUGUUUGACGGCGACAGGUGCGUGGCAAUGGAGAACUGUGGCUGCGUGCAUGACGGGCACUACAUCAAGGUAAGUCCAGCACUUGUGGAAACCGUUGUGUCUGUGCGUAUGUGUGUGCCACUUUAAGAGCUCACCCACACUUCCCUUUGCCCUGCCACUUUCCACCAGGAAAACCCACAGUUUAGCGCUAAAUUGGAACAAAUGGCAAUUAGGUUUUCUGCAGAUUGCAGAUUGCUCCAAUUUAGCAUUAUAGAAAGGGUUUUCCAAGGGGAAAAGGUGAUGCAAAGGCAAAACAGCUUGGAAAGCAUAGGACAAGUGGAAAACAUCUAGGCAAGGGACAAGCGGAAGUCUACAUGAGCCCUUAGUGAGUCUGCAAGGGCUAGUAUCUCUUCCCUCCUUCGGAUUGCCACUCUUGCAUUGCUUUGUGCUGAACUCAAAUUUCCACAACAGUAACAUAGGUGAAUGUAUAUGCAUGCUUGUAGGUGAGAGGCUUGAAGGAGCACGCCAUGUCAAAGGGGUGGUUGUCACCUUCUCACACCCACCUCGGCCUCAUAAAGGACAGCUGGUGAGGCUGACAGCAGCAGCAAAACACAGAGAGACGAAAAGGAGAAAGAGUUGCUGAUAAAGGCCAAGAUUGUGGAGCAAAGGAGAUACAAUAAGAAUAGAGGGAGGCAGCCUCUGGCCCAGCAAAACUGAUGGGGCAGAGUACUAAAGGAGAGAGGGAGGACAGCGAGAGAAAGCUGGCUGUUGCAGAGGCCAAGGAGGGAGGCUGAGGGAAGCAGAUGUAAGAGGAACAGCUGGGAAGGAGAAAGAGAUGGGUGGCGAGGGAGAUCUGAGGUUAUAACAAAGGUAACUAAGAAGGCCUGCACAUCACAGCAGAAAACCUUUGAUAAGAAAAGCACUUUCCUCCUUGGGAAGUUGAGGAGCCAAGAGGUGGAACCUGUAAUAAGCAACUGGCUGUGUGAAAAUCCUUGGAGAUGAUGGACACAAGAAAACUCAACAUCUGAAAUAAUUAGUAUCAUUUAAGUAGGAAUACAAUACAUUGCGCCAGAGUGGGAGAGGCUGCGACCAGGUGAUCUGCACCCGUGGCAUGUGGUGAACUUUUUCUUAGGGGGACAGUUAGGGCCAGAGGUGCCAGCUUGUGAGGGUGAUGUGGGGGGAGACAUAGUGCAGGUGAGCAUCGUGCCUCCCUCCCUAAGCUGGGCAGAAACUUCCCGGGACUCAGGAAGGAGGUGGCAGGGGAACAUUUAAGAGACUAGCCUAGUCCACUGACAGCACACCACUGAUCUGCACUGAAAUGUUGAUGGGCAAUAACUCCUGUUUUCCCUUCUUAUGAUUCUUUAUACUGGACAGUAGACAGACCUUCAAAUAGAGUAUGCCUUCAAACAGAGGACUGCAAAGGAGGACAGAUGGGCACUCUAUUCCUUGUCCAGGCUGUGCUCCAACAGAGCUAUAUAACCUCAGCUGUAUAACAAAGCUUUAUUUAACCCCUGAAGAACAGGGUUUCACCUCCAAACAUGUUGAGCACAAAGGAGUUAGUGAGAGGAUGGAUGGACUGAGUCCAGACCUGCCCACUGUAUUUGGGGAGGGGGAGUUAUUUGCUUCCAUUUUGGACUUUGACAAGGGGCCAGAAAAAUCUGAAAGGCUUCUGGGACUUUGCGUGAUCCUGAUAAUGUUAUAUGCAGCAUGCUAUGGCAUAUAAAUCUGCACCCUUCGAAGAAUCCAGAUUAGAUUCUUCCCUAUUCUCUGCCCCAUUGAAUGUCUCUGUUGUUAACAGGGAUGGAUAUAUCUGUCUAUUUCUGGUCUAUGUCAGUUUCACAUCCAUUGAUUAGCAUGGCAUGAAGUUCAUGCAAAAAUAGUAUGAGUAAAUGUAUUAAAGUACAAAAUGUGACCUAUUUUAAUAUCUAUUUUACUGUCGAUUUAUCAUUUAUGCAGCAAUGGUGUGCUAGAUUGUAGCUUUAUAGAGGUGAUUCUAAGUACUCAGGCUUGUACAUGUUGAAUUAAUAAUAAUAAUAUUUUAAAACAUUUGCAUUUAAAUUUUAAUCCUUUUUUCUCCCCUCCCUCUCUCUUGGGCUGUAAAUCUUACAGGCUGGAGAGAAUAUUGUCUCAGAAGACUGCUUGAAAAAAUGCACCUGCCGCCCAUCAGGCCAACUGGUUUGUGCAGAAAACAGUUGCCAGCAAGGAGAAAUCUGUGCCCUCCAUAACGGUGUGCGCAGUUGCAUAAGGCCGAACGGAGAGUGUGCCGUCCUCCCUGGAGCACACGUGACUUCCUUUGACGGUGUCUCUGGGAAAAUUCUGUAUCUAGGGGCUUACGAGGUUGCAACCCUUUGCAAUGGCAGUGACCCCUCUUGGUUCAAGAUCGUGGCAGUUGUCGACAAACACAACGGCUGGGAUUUGCCAGCAGUGACAAAGAUACAUGUAUUUUUCAAAUGCCUGUUUUUCACUGUAAAACCGAACAAGGAGGCAUGGGUAAGUUCCCGGUGCAGGAUCCUGGUUUGCGUCCAAUGUUAGUCACACCCAAUGGACAGGACUACCUUAGGUUCAUUCAUUUCAGUGGAUCUACCCUGAGUAGACGUCAGCCAAAUACUUUCUGCUUUAAUGUGUGCUGCCCAAGUGCAAUGCCUUGCUAGGCUUUCACCAACAGAGCAACAGGCUUCUUUAAGCAACUAGCCAUCCUGGCCAAGGUGAGAGACGCUGGGAAUUGUAGUUGAGCAGCAUCCAGAGAUCACCACAUUGACCAAAGCAGGGGAGGGUAAACUGAGGCCAUCCAGUCCUCUCUAUCUGGCCCAUGGGACUCUUUCUGGGUCAUUCCCCCUUCCUUGGCCACACCUCUUAUCAUAGCCCUUCAGCCGGAAUAAUGCAUAUUGGUUGCCUAGAUGGAUAAUAGAGAAGGGACAUCAUAUUCAAUCAUCAUUAUUAUCCUUUUAUUAUUUAUACCCUGUCUGACUGACUGAGUUGCCCAAGCUACUCUGGACUGCUUCCAACAUAUAAAAAAACCAUAAUUAACAUAAUUAUAGCCUACGCUGUGGGUUAAACCACAGAGCCUAGGACUUGUCGAUCAGAAGGUCGGCGGUUCGAAUCCCCGCGAUGGGCUGAGCUCCUGUUGCUUGGUCCCUGCUCCUGCCAACCUAGCAGUUCGAAAGCACGUCAAAGUGCAAGUAGAUAAAUAGGUACCGCUCUGGCGGGAAGGUAAACGGUGUUUCCGUGUGCUGCUCUGGUUCACCAGAAGCGGCUUAGUCAUGCUGGCCACAUGACCCGGAAGCUGUACGCCCGCUCCCUCGGCCAGUAAAGCGAGAUGAGCGCCGCAACCCCAGAGUCGGUCACGACUGGACCUAAUGGUCAGGGGUCCCUUUACCUUUUAUACAAAGAUAAGUGUGCAGCCAUUCGUUGCCUCGGCUCUUUUGCCUCUGGUCCCACCCACCACAGGGACGCGGGUGGCACUGUGGGUAAAACCUCAGCACCUAGGACUUGCCAAUCGCAUGGUCGGUGGUUCGAAUCCCCGCGGCAGGGUGCGCUCCCGUCGUUCGGUCCCAGCGCCUGCCAACCUAGCAGUUCGAAAGCACCUCCGGGUGCAGGCAGAUAAAUAGGGACCGCUUACCAGCGGGAAGGUAAACGGCGCUCCGUGUGCUGCGCUGGCUCGCCAGAUGCAGCUUGUCACGCUGGCCACGUGACCCGGAAGUGUCUGCGGACAGCGCUGGCUCCCGGCCUAUAGAGUGAGAUGAGCGCACAACCCUAGAGUCUGGCAAGACUGGCCCGUACGGGCAGGGGUACCUUUUACCACCCACCACUGGCAUGUGGCCCCCCCAUAAGGGAUUGUGGCCCUCAGACUGAAAAGGUUUCCCUCCCCUGCUCCACCCAUUAACCCAAAACCUUUCUCCCUCCUUUUCUGAACUUCAGGCUAAUGGGCGCAAAAUUACGCUCCCAGCAAAGGUCUCUGAAGAUGCCCACGUGAGCCUCUCUCAAGACAGGAUAACUAUUCAUUUGGCCUCUGAAGUAAAAAUUCUGCUCGGACCUCGUGGGGAAAUGAAGACGCAAGUCUGUAAAAGCCUGGCAGCAAAGCUGUGUGCCUCCUGUGGGAACUUCAAUGGAAAUCGCGCUGAUGACCUGAAGCUGCCCAGUGGGAAGGUAGCAAGCAGCUUGUCUGAGGUCAUUGCUGUCUGGAAGGAGGAGGAAUUCUGUGCUAAGUGAGUGGCUCUGAGAAAGGUCUUUGACCAAAGAGGACAUGUAAGUGUUGCAAUUAUUCUAACAAGUAUAUAUACCUAUUAAGAAGUCAUUUUGCUUUUUUAAUAAAUGGAUUUCAAAUAUCAUUGUAUAUAUUCAUACAUACUCUAUGUCUAAAAGCAAUCCAUUUGCAUGUUGCAAGUGUGGUCAUAUCUUCUAUCCUUCAUGAGCCAGUGUGGUGUAGUGGUUAAGAGCGGUAGAUUCGUAAUCUGGUGAACCGGGUUCGAUUCCCCGCUCCUCCACAUGCAGCUGCUGGGUGACCUUGGGCUAGUCACACUUCUCUGAAGUCUCUCAGCCUCACUCACCUCACAGGGUGUUUGUUGUGGGGAAGGAAGGGAAAGGAGAUUGCGAGCCGCUUUGAGACUUCUUAGGGUAGUGAUAAAGCAGGAUAUCAAAUCCAAACUCUUCUUCAUUCAAAGGGGGGCAUGGUACACUGGUACCUUGGUUCUCGAACUUAAUCUGUUCCGGGAGUCUGUUCAACUUCUGAAACUGUUCAGAAACCAAGGCGCGGCUUCCGAUUGGCUGCAGGAGCUUCCUGCACUUAAGCAGAAGCUGUGUCGGAUGUUUGGCUUCUGAAAAAUGUUUGCAAACCAGAACACUCACUUCUGGGGUUUGUGGCAUUUGGGAGCCGAUUUGUUCGACAACUAAGCCGUCCGGAAACCAAGGCACCACUUUUAUCUUUCCAGUGUAUCAGUAUCAGUCUUUUAGCAGAAGUAAGGCCAUGGAAAGUUGCUCAUUAGCUAAAAAGGCACUCAGAGCAGUUUACAAAAAUUGGUUAUUAAAUCCCUGCCUGCAGACUUGCAGUCUAAAAGGUCAUGACACAAAAGGGGCAAAACCAGGAAUAAGAGGAAGGAUGGAAAAGCAGACUCAACCUCUUCAAGUUACGGGUCUUGGAGUUUUCUAAGUUCUUGUCUUUUAAAAAGAGCAGCCUCUCCCUGGAAGCAUCCUUCCAUCCCAGAUCAAAUCCAGGAGCAGAGAAGGUGACAGUGUCUGGGCCAGGAGGACAAGGCAGCUCCUGCCAUGCAGCCCUUUCCCCAGAGAGCAGGCUGGAUGGCAGGCAGGCAGUUACUCCCUACAGACAGAAAAAAUAGCAUCUGGUAGCAAUAAGCAGGCUGUAAAACCAGGAGUAAUUGAUUAAUUACACUCAGAGAGCAAAGUCAUUGCAAAUUGAGCCGUUACAUGUUAAAUGAAAUUCUACAGUGCUGCGGGAAGCAUUGUGAAGAUUCUCACUGAAACAUAAAUACACUCACAUUGCCUUCUUCACAAUUUUCUCUUCUAGUGAGGCCUAAAAGGUGCCUGAAGCAAAAUGAACCCCUCCCUAUGCUGCUUCUGGGAGAAACUUUGCAUUUAAGCUCUCGGGCAAAAUUCCUUGGUAUGGCGUAUUCCCUGGCUUCACAGUUCAAUGUUGCUCAACCUGUUAUCAAGUUUACUUUGACUGCCUAAUAAAAUGAUGGCACUUUUGCUUAAGAAUCAAUAAAG